GUGAGGAAUAUUGCGCAAUGGAGGCAACUCUGAUCCAGCCAUGCCGCGUGCAGGAAGACGGCCCUCUGGGUUGUAAACUGCUUUUAUCCGGGAAUAAACCUGCCUUCGUGAAGGUAGCUGAAUGUACCGGAAGAAUAAGGAUCGGCUAACUCCGUGCCAGCAGCCGCGGUAAUACGGAGGAUCCAAGCGUUAUCCGGAUUUAUUGGGUUUAAAGGGUGCGUAGGCGGCCUGUUAAGUCAGGGGUGAAAGACGGUGGCUCAACCAUCGCAGUGCCCUUGAUACUGAUGGGCUUGAAUGGACUAGAGGUAGGCGGAAUGUGACAAGUAGCGGUGAAAUGCAUAGAUAUGUCACAGAACACCGAUUGCGAAGGCAGCUUACUAUGGUCCUAUUGACGCUGAGGCACGAAAGCGUGGGGAUCGAACAGGAUUAGAAACCCUGGUAGUCC
rnacentral:rRNA from 1 species